UUUCAGAGACAGGGUCUUGCUACGUUGCCCAGGCUGGACUCAAAUUCCUGGGCUCAGGUGAUUCUUCUGCCUCAGCCUCCUGAGUAGCUGAGACUACAGGUGUGUGCCACUGUGCCUAAAAAGAUUUUAAAAAAAUACGUAUGCCCGGACACCACUCUAAACCAACUAAAUCAGAAUCAGAUAUCGUGAAGUCACUAAUCAUUUUGCUCCUGGGUCUUUAUGACAGUUUUGCUCCUGGGAAACUCCUGGGAAUGU
rnacentral:lncRNA from 1 species